GACGAACGCUGGCGGCGUGCCUAAUACAUGCAAGUCGAGCGGAGUUAGAGAAGCUUGCUUCUCUAACUUAGCGGCGGACGGGUGAGUAACACGUGGGCAAUCUGCCCGUAAGAUUGGGAUAACUCCGGGAAACCGGGGCUAAUACCGGAUAAUCCUGACUCUCUCCUGAGAGUCAGUUGAAAGAUGGUUUCGGCUAUCACUUACGGAUGAGCCCGCGGCGCAUUAGCUAGUUGGUAGGGUAAUGGCCUACCAAGGCGACGAUGCGUAGCCGACCUGAGAGGGUGAUCGGCCACACUGGGACUGAGACACGGCCCAGACUCCUACGGGAGGCAGCAGUAGGGAAUCUUCCGCAAUGGACGAAAGUCUGACGGAGCAACGCCGCGUGAGUGAAGAAGGUUUUCGGAUCGUAAAACUCUGUUGUUAGGGAAGAACACGUACGAGAGUAACUGCUCGUACCUUGACGGUAUCUAACCAGAAAGCCACGGCUAACUACGUG
rnacentral:rRNA from 1 species